UCCAUGGAGGACUAGUGGUUCUGCCACAGCGCUCUCACCGCUGCAGCCCGGGUUCGAUUCCCAGCCAGGGCU
rnacentral:tRNA from 1 species